rnacentral:lncRNA from 1 species
GACCCGUUUCCGUGGGCCGGACCGGCACUAGGGCCCAGGUAAGCUUAAGGCCCCCGAAGCCCGUAGUAAGCCUGAAAUACUAAAACUUUACCAGGUCAAAAUAAUAUUAAACAUUCAGCCCAUAUAAUUAUAUUGUUUAUCAUACACGACUAAUUGUAUAUAGUUUCUACAAUUGCGGAGUCACUAACUAAUAGCCAUACAUAGAUUCUUAUACAUCUAGAUACAUAGCAAAAUAUUUAUUGGUCUAGGAAAAUUUUUCUUUCUAACUCUGUGACGAAGGAACAUAGCUUAGUCGAAUUAAAGAGAAACUUUCUUCCUGAAAAAUUAAACAAGAUAUGUGAGCUUUCUAAGGAGUAAUUAUUAUUGCACAACACACACAUUCACACAGAUGUAUAAAUAUAUAUAUAUAUAUAUAUGUAUAUGUAUAUCAAUCUAGUCCUCCGACUAGUAUAUGCUCACGCAGCCAGUCACACAAAAUGGCAUGUCACCAGCACUCACAAACAAUAUCACCUUCAAAUAAUCACAUCACGUGGAA